AUCUAAAUAGCUUAUGGAGAGCAUAGUAUUGAAGAUACUAAGGAAAUUUUAUAUUUUUAGAUA
rnacentral:tRNA from 1 species